AUUGAACGCUAGCGGGAUGCCUUACACAUGCAAGUCGAACGGAGUGGCGAACGGGUGAGUAAUGUAUCGGAACGUGCCCAGUAGCGGGGGAUAACUACGCGAAAGCGUAGAUAAUACCGCAUACUAUUGGCGCGGCCGAUAGCGGAUUAGCUAGUGGGUGGGGUAACGGCUCACAAGGGCGACGAUCCUUAGCUGGUUUGAGAGGCCGACACGCCACGCUGGGACUGAGACACGUCCCAGACUCCUACGGGGGGCAGCAGUGGGGAAUUUUGGACAAUGGGGGAAACCCUGAUCCAGCCAGCCCGCGUGUGCGAUGAAGGCCUUCGGGUUGUAAAGCACUUUUGGCAGGAAAGCGGUACCUGCAGAAUAAGCACCGGCUAACUACGUGCCAGCAACCGCGGUAAUAC
rnacentral:rRNA from 1 species